CUACGGGCGGCUGCAGUCGAGAAUCUUCCACAAUGCACGAAAGUGUGAUGGAGCGACGUCGCGUGCGAGUUGAAGGCCUUCGGGUCGUAAAUCGUUUUUAUAAGGGAAGAAUUUAGAUGACAUUACCUUAUGAAUAAGGGGUUGCUAAUUGCGUGCCAGCAGCAGCGGUAAUACGCAAACCCCAAGCGUUAUCCGGAUUUAUGGGCGUAAAGGGUGGGUAGGCGGAUAUAGCAGUCAGUCGUUAAAUCACUGGGCUCAACCCAGUAAUCGCGAUUGAAACACUAUGUCUAGAGAUAAGUAGAGGUCAACGGAACUCAUGGUGUAGCAGUGAAAUGCGUUGAUAUCAUGGGGAACACCAAAGGCGAAGGCAGUUGACUGGGCUUUAUCUGACGCUGAGCCACGAAAGCGUGGGGAGUGAAGGGGAUUAGAUACCCUUGUAGUC
rnacentral:rRNA from 1 species